rnacentral:rRNA from 1 species
CCCUUUGGGGUGUGACUGCGUACCUUUUGUAUAAUGGGUCAGCGACUUAUAUUCUGUAGCAAGGUUAACCGUAUAGGGGAGCCGGAGGGAAACCGAGUCUUAACCGGGCGUUAAGUUGCAGGGUAUAGACCCGAAACCCGGUGAUCUAGCCAUGGGCAGGUUGAAGGUUGGGUAACACUAACUGGAGGACCGAACCGACUAAUGUUGAAAAAUUAGCGGAUGACCUGUGGCUGGGGGUGAAAGGCCAAUCAAACCGGGAGAUAGCUGGUUCUCCCCGAAAGCUAUUUAGGUAGCGCCUCGUGAAUUCAUCUCCGGGGGUAGAGCACUGUUUCGGCUAGGGGGCCAUCCCGGCUUACCAACCCGAUGCAAACUGCGAAUACCGGAGAAUGUUAUCACGGGAGACACACGGCGGGUGCUAACGUCCGUCGUGAAGAGGGAAACAACCCAGACCGCCAGCUAAGGUCCCAAAGUCAUGGUUAAGUGGGAAACGAUGUGGGAAGGCCCAGACAGCCAGGAUGUUGGCUUAGAAGCAGCCAUCAUUUAAAGAAAGCGUAAUAGCUCACUGGUCGAGUCGGCCUGCGCGGAAGAUGUAACGGGGCUAAACCAUGCACCGAAGCUGCGGCAGCGACACUCAGGUGUUGUUGGGUAGGGGAGCGUUCUGUAAGCCUGCGAAGGUGGCCUGUGAGGGUUGCUGGAGGUAUCAGAAGUGCGAAUGCUGACAUAAGUAACGAUAAAGCGGGUGAAAAGCCCGCUCGCCGGAAGACCAAGGGUUCCUGUCCAACGUUAAUCGGGGCAGGGUGAGUCGACCCCUAAGGCGAGGCCGAAAGGCGUAGUCGAUGGGAAACGGGUUAAUAUUCCCGUACUUGGUGUUACUGCGAAGGGGGGACGGAGAAGGCUAUGUUGGCCGGGCGACGGUUGUCCCGGUUUAAGCGUGUAGGUGUGUGUUCCAGGUAAAUCCGGUUCACUUUAACACUGAGGCGUGACGACGAGGCACUACGGUGCUGAAGCAACAAAUGCCCUGCUUCCAGGAAAAGCCUCUAAGCAUCAGGUAACAUCAAAUCGUACCCCAAACCGACACAGGUGGUCAGGUAGAGAAUACCAAGGCGCUUGAGAGAACUCGGGUGAAGGAACUAGGCAAAAUGGUGCCGUAACUUCGGGAGAAGGCACGCUGACAUGUAGGUGAAGUGAUUUACUCAUGGAGCUGAAGUCAGUCGAAGAUACCAGCUGGCUGCAACUGUUUAUUAAAAACACAGCACUGUGCAAACACGAAAGUGGACGUAUACGGUGUGACGCCUGCCCGGUGCCGGAAGGUUAAUUGAUGGGGUCAGCGCAAGCGAAGCUCCUGAUCGAAGCCCCGGUAAACGGCGGCCGUAACUAUAACGGUCCUAAGGUAGCGAAAUUCCUUGUCGGGUAAGUUCCGACCUGCACGAAUGGCGUAAUGAUGGCCAGGCUGUCUCCACCCGAGACUCAGUGAAAUUGAACUCGCUGUGAAGAUGCAGUGUACCCGCGGCAAGACGGAAAGACCCCGUGAACCUUUACUAUAGCUUGACACUGAACAUUGAGCCUUGAUGUGUAGGAUAGGUGGGAGGCUUUGAAGUGUGG